rnacentral:rRNA from 1 species
UACGGAGGGUGCGAGCGUUGUCCGGAAUCACUGGGCGUAAAGGGCGCGUAGGCGGCCUGAUAAGUAGGGGGUGAAAUCCUGCGGCUUAACCGCAGGGCUGCCUUCUAAACUGUCAGGCUCGAGCACAGUAGAGGCAGGUGGAAUUCCCGGUGUAGCGGUGGAAUGCGUAGAGAUCCGGAAGAACACCAGUGGCGAAGGCGGCUCGCUGGGCAGUGGCUGACGCUGAGGCGCGACAGCGUGGUGAGCAAGCAGG